rnacentral:rRNA from 1 species
AGAACGAACGUUGGCGGCGUGCUUAACACAUGCAAGUCGAGCGAGAAAGCCCCCGCAAGGGGGUGAGUAAAGCGGCGCACGGGUGAGUAACACGUGGGUGACGUACCCUCCGUUGGGGGAUAACACCUCGCAAGGGGCGCUAAUACCGCGUACGACCCGUCGGCUACGGCCGGCGGGUGAUAGGAGCAAUCCGGCGGAGGAUCGGCCCGCGGCCCAUCAGCUUGUUGGCGGGGUAAUGGCCCACCAAGGCUAUGACGGGUAGCUGGUCUGAGAGGAUAGCCAGCCACACUGGAACUGAGACACGGUCCAGACUCCUACGGGAGGCAGCAGUGGGGAAUCUUGCGCAAUGGGCGAAAGCCUGACGCAGCGACGCCGCGUGGGUGACGAAGGCCUUCGGGUCGUAAAGCCCUGUGGGGAGGGACGAACAAGCAGCAAUGCCCUGACGGUACCUCCUUAGCAAGCACCGGCCAACUCCGUGCCAGCAGCCGCGGUAAGACGGAGGGUGCAAACGUUGUUCGGAAUUACUGGGCGUAAAGCGCGUGUAGGCGGUCCGAAAAGUCGGAUGUGAAAUCCCUCGGCUUAACCGAGUGAAUUGCAUUCGAUACUGCCGGACUGGAGUUCGGGAGAGGGACGUGGAAUUCCCGGUGUAGAGGUGAAAUUCGUAGAUAUCGGGAGGAACACCGGUGGCGAAGGCGGCGUCCUGGACCGAUACUGACGCUGAGACGCGAAAGCGCGGGGAGCAAACAGGAUUAGAUACCCUGGUAGUCCACGCCGUAAACGAUGGGCACUUGGUAUCGCGGGUAUUGACCCCUGCGGUGCCGAAGCUAACGCGUUAAGUGCCCCGCCUGGGGAGUACGGCCGCAAAGGUGAAACUCAAA